GACGAACGCUGGCGGCGUGCCUAAUACAUGCAAGUCGAGCGGACCACUUCGGUGGUCAGCGGCGGACGGGUGAGUAACACGUGGGCAACCUGCCUGUAAGACUGGGAUAACACCGGGAAACCGGUGCUAAUACCGGAUAAUCCUUUCCUUCACAUGAAGGGAAGCUGAAAGACGGUUUCGGCUGUCACUUACAGAUGGGCCCGCGGCGCAUUAGCUAGUUGGUGAGGUAACGGCUCACCAAGGCAACGAUGCGUAGCCGACCUGAGAGGGUGAUCGGCCACACUGGGAAGGAGACACGGCCCAGACUCCUACGGGAGGCGGCAGUAGGGAAUCUUCCGCAAUGGACGAAAGUCUGACGGAGCAACGCCGCGUGAGCGAUGAAGGCCUUCGGGUCGUAAAGCUCUGUUGUCAGGGAAGAACAAGUACCGGAGUAACUGCCGGUACCUUGACGGUACCUGACCAGAAAGCCACGGCUAACUACGUGCCAGCAGCCGCGGUAAGAC
rnacentral:rRNA from 1 species